AAGGAGGGGAAAUGAGGAGAUGAGCGCGGGCUGUGGCAAAACCACACCGGGACCACCCUGAAGUCACCUCGGUGCCCUUUGUUUUCCUUACCUGGAUCUGCUGCUUUGUUUUCCUCGCCUUUUUUUCACCGGAGCUGUUGAUAAAACAGCAUCCUCCCUUCACACACCGGCCAGAUUUAUUUAUAAUUUUUUUUUAAUUUUUUUAAAUUAUUAUUAUUUUUUAAUUCCAUCUGCCGCGGCUGAACUCCCAGGGCUCCACGGAAACUUCCCAAAAGCAGCGGAGGAGCGGAGCAGCUGCAGCCCAGGGGGAUCCCCGGGGAUGCCGGCGUGGCCCAGGCUCAGGGGAGAUGAAAAUUUCCAGCCCUCGUCCCAAAAAAGCAGGAAAAAACAACAAAAAACCUCCCACGCCCCCCCCCAAACAACAAAAAAAACCCCAAACCAAACCAAAAAAACCCACAAAAAAACCCAGCUGCAAUCAAAGCCAGCACAAUCAGCAGGAAGGAGGACACAAGGACAAAACCCCAAUCAAGCGACGGAUCCCGAGGAAAAACACGUUCUAAGCUCAGCACUGAGACGCAACCGGGGAAGCUGGGAUGGACGAGGUCUAUUUUACACGUGAUGAGAAGCAAUUAAUCAGCUUUUUUAAUUGGUCUUCUUCCUUGUGUUGUGUUUUUAUGGUUUUCUUUUUUUUUAAACUCAUUUAUUUAUUUUUAAA